AAGACCAAAAGCCCCGAAGACACUUGUGGGUGGGGGUGGGUGAACUUCCUCCUUAUCCUGUGCCCUAGGCCCCAGGCCCUGGGGCACUGGGGAAGCCUGCGCAGGGACUUCUUAGCCAGGUGCUGGUCUGGAGCCCAGGGCCUGGGCAGUACCCAGCUGCCAGUCUGGACGCUCAGGCCAGUUGGGGGAGGGGGCUGUUCUCCCACCCUCCUCGUGGGGCCGGCCUGGCGCCAGUGGGGCGGCUUGAGGGGGUGGUGCCCAGGCCACAAGGGUGACACUGGCAGAGGCCUGGAACCGGCUGUACCAGCUUGGCUGGGCCCCCGCCCUCCCUGUCUGGCCCAAUCUCCACCCCGUGCUCAAACACCCAUGCAGAGUGUUUGGAGGAACCCUACUCCCACAUGCUGGCCUGUCCACAGAGACCCGUGCCCCUCUGUCUGUGCCCCACCACAUUUCUCCCCCAAUUAAAGGAGACCCUCAGUGGGGUGCGGUGGCUCACACCUGUAAUCCCAGCACUUUGGGAGGCCCAGGUGGGAGGAUCCCUUAGGGCCAGGACUUCCAGACCAGCCUAGGCAACAGAAUGAGACCCUGUCUCAAUAAAAUAUAAAAAAAUAAAACUUAGCAGUUGUGGUGUGCUUGUAGUCCCAGUUACUCUGGAGGCUGAGGCAGGAGGAUCGCUUUUACCCAGGAGUUCAGGGCUGCAGCGAGCUAUGAUUGUGUAGCUGAACUCUAGCCUGAGCAACAGAGUGAGAUGGUCUUGUUUUGUUGCCCAGGCUGGAGUCCAGU
rnacentral:lncRNA from 1 species